UCGUGGACCGUGCUGUUAAGGGGUUUGAUAAACAGUGUAUUGCGGUUCAGCGCCACAUCGCCUUCGGCGGUGGUCAUCUCGCCGUCGAGGGGAAUAUCGAGAUGCAAGCGAGCGCUCACAUCGCCAUCAAGCUGUAGCUCAUCCAGCGCGGCGGCGAGGGUAUCGUCCAGCGGCGUCUCUUUGAAAUAAGGCCCAACCGCCUUGCCCGGCCCGUUAAUGUCGGCGUCAAUCAGCAGCUUCUCUUUGAUGUAGUCCGGGAUUACGGCGGUCAGAUUGCUGGCCUUAACGCCGCCGAGCGCCACUUCGUCUGAUUUCAUCCACAGACCGUCGUUGAUGAAAUCGAGAUCGAUGGCAAAAUUUUUCAGCGCGGGCCAGCCCGGCUGGAAGGCAAACGUGGCGUUGCGCAGCGGCAC
rnacentral:ncRNA from 1 species